UUCCGGUGUCCACUUGGAAGGGGAAGCCCUCUCUAAAGCCUUGGCACCUUUGGGGACAGCUACAUAUGUUGGGGGCUUUACUUCCCUCUCUCCUCAUCCUAACCAGUGUGGGGAGAUAGCAAAUCCUCCUCUACCUCUGGGGACACAGCAAGCUGGGAAUGGAAAAGAGGGAGAGGAAGAAAACACACGAACAACUUUGGUGCCUACUCCUCCCUUUCAUCCGACCCCUGUUUGGAAACGAAUGAAGCAACACCCACCAGUGGACUUCCAGAUUUCCCAACGCAGUAAGCGACACCUCGCCCUGAAAAAAGCUCGGCACAAAGCGGGGUGAAAGUUGAAGAGGGAAUGAGCUUGUAAUAGUGCCUCGCCAGACCUCACACAUGCUGAAGGAUAUUUACAGCAAACGUGCCAAAGUAAACUACCCCGCCUACCCACCACCAUGCCCCCUCCUCG
ensembl:lncRNA